UUGUGUUAUUAGUUCAGGUCAUUGUGUUUAAUAUGUUAUUCAUUGUGUUUUAAUAUGUUGUCCAUUGUUUUGUUGUGUAUUGUGUUUUUGGUUUGUUUUCCAUUGUGUCUUCAUCUGCUCUCCAUUGUGUCUUUUAUCUGUUGUCAUUGAUUGUGUCUUUUAUCUGUUGUCAUCAAUUGUGUUUUUAUUUAGUCUGAUACUUAUUGUGUUAUAUGUUAUCGUCAUUGUGUUAUACGUUGUGGUCAUUGUGUUUUAGUAUGUUGUCCAUUGUGUUUUUAUCUAGUUGUCAUUGAUUGUGUUUUUGAUCUACUUUACAUUGUGUUUUACAUCAUGUCCAUUGUGUUAUUAUCAAAACCUAUAACACCAUGUUAAUUUGGGUUUUAUCCAUUGCGUUUUUAUAAGAACCUAUAACACAAUAUACGACACAAUGAAGAUGGUGUUAUAUCUGGGUUUUCUAUAAAUUGUGUUAUUAGUUCAGGUCAUUCUGUUUAAUAUUUAUUUAUUGUGUUUUAAUAUGUUGUCCAUUGUGUUUUAAUAAUCUGUUCAAUUUUUUUUAUUAUCUUUGUUCAUUGUGUUUUCGUUUGUUGUGUAUUGUGUUUUUAGUUUGUUUUCCAUUGUGUCUUCAUCUGCUCUCCAUUGUGUCUUUUAUCUGCUGUCAUUAAUUGUGUCUUUUAUCUGUUGUCAUCAAUUGUGUUUUUAUUAUAGUCUAAUACUUAUUGUGUUAUAUGUUAUCGCCAUUGUGUUAUACGUUAUGGUCAUUGUGUUUUAGUAUGUUGUUCAUUGUGUCUUUAUCUGUUGUCAUUGAUUGUGUUUUUGAUCUACUUUACAUUGUGUUUUACAUCAUGUCCAUUAUGUAAUAUGCAACUGGGUUUUUGAAAUUUUUUUUUUUUUGAAAAAUACAACAAUAUGGUACUCAUAUUAAAGAUAAAAAAAACGCUCGAUUUUAUGGUAUAAAUUUUUUUAAACAAAUGAUGUAUAAAAAAGUUACGGACGUUUAAAAAUUGAUGAGGAAAUAACAUGUGACUUGCAUGUGCAUAUUCUCUUUCCUCUUGUAGACAAAAUUACCCUUUUCAUUUAAUUACUCAUAGGACACUUGUCACUCUCUGGUGGCUUCUUACCCUUCUUAUUUUUAAACACUUUGUAUUAUAACUCAACCCUUAGAUCAAAACUAGGAAAACACCCAAUAAUCUAAAUUUCAUUCCAAAAUAAGGGAAUUUAUUCGAAUUUCACUAAGAACAUGAAGAACCCUAAUAUUAAUAAAAUCAAAAUUCCGGAACCCAAAACCUGAAUAUUAAGGUUUUAAAACAGAUUUUGGAACAUUAAAGUUACUAUUUGAGUUCGAGACAAUUAUAAAACAUUCUUUUUCCCGAAAACAGUGAUUUCAAGAUACUUGGUCUAGAACAGGCUUUUAAAUUUUAUUAAGUUUUUAAAACUCUGUUUUCCAGAUUUCAAUCCCAGAAUAAUGGAUAUGAAAACGUAACUGAUUUAUCAACAUAUGCUCUGAUACCACAUGUUGAUCAGUUCUGUUUUAGGCAUAAUGGAAAACAUAAAUAACAUACCUGAUUGCAUCAGUACAGGCCAGCAGAGAAUCCAGAUGGAGACGCAGCAACAGGGUUUGACAUGAUUGUCAGCUUGAUCUGGUUGCUCCUUAGGGUGCAAUCUAAUGAUGGUGAUGAUGAAAACCGAUAAAGGGGAAUCGGUUAGGAGAGAGGGGCGAUUUCAUAAUGAUGUUAUUGUGAUCAGUGUCUAACCCUUUAACCCUCUAAUUAUCUCCUUAUAUAUGCACCCAAGAGGAAACCAUAAUUAGUUAAUAAUGGUAAUAAGGCCCAUCAACAAUUACCCACUAAUUAUUUAAUAGGUUGUUAUAUAUUUUGAUCUGUAUAAUGUAAAUGAUUAUAAUGACUACUAGAUUAAAUAUUACACCAUAAUAUAUUUAAUCUUAC
rnacentral:lncRNA from 1 species